CUUUGGAUCGACUCCCCUCGGCAUAAAUGCCCCGCCUUUAAUGGCUUCCCCGAUCUGAUGCUCCCGGCCUCCGCUUCUCGCCUCGCUCGCCGCCGCCGCCGCCGCCGCUCCCGCUGCUGCGGAUUCGCGCGGAGGAAAGUUUCGGGGAACGGAGCGGGUGGGGGCUCGGUGGGGAAAGGUCGCGGCGGCGUGUUGGUUGAAACUGCAAAAGUGCAAAACGGAACCGCCUC
rnacentral:lncRNA from 1 species